CUGUAUAUUUUUUAUACAAAGCCAUGCAACUUGCAGGAGCCGGCUUCGACAAUAUGAAAAAAAGCGGCUGUGCUUGCCUCGUCUCCGUUUACUUACUAAAAGUUAUGGGUAGUAUGUACGCCGGCUAAUUUCCUACCGUUUGGAAA
rnacentral:sRNA from 1 species